UACGUAGGGUGCAAGCGUUGUCCGGAAUUAUUGGGCGUAAAGAGCUCGUAGGCGGUCUGUCGCGUCUGCUGUGAAAACUCAGGGCUUAACCCUGAGCUUGCAGUGGGUACGGGCAGACUAGAGUGCGGUAGGGGAGACUGGAAUUCCUGGUGUAGCGGUGAAAUGCGCAGAUAUCAGGAGGAACACCGGUGGCGAAGGCGGGUCUCUGGGCCGUAACUGACGCUGAGGAGCGAAAGUGUGGGGAGCGAACAGG
rnacentral:rRNA from 1 species